rnacentral:rRNA from 1 species
CUUGCCUGCACCUGCCGGCGACCGGCGCACGGGUGAGUAACACGUAUGGAACCUGCCCGCCACAGGGGGAUAACCCGGGGAAACCCGGCCUAAUACCCCAUGCCGCCCGGACCGGGCAUCCGGUCCGGGCGAAAGGAGGAAUCCGGUGGCGGCUGGGCAUGCGGCGCAUUAGCUUGACGGCGGGGUAACGGCCCACCGUGGCGACGAUGCGUAGGGGUUCUGAGAGGAAGGUCCCCCACAUUGGAACUGAGACACGGUCCAAACUCCUACGGGAGGCAGCAG